UACAUAGGUGGCAAGCGUUGUCCGGAAUUAUUGGGCGUAAAGCGCGCGCAGGCGGAAAUUUAAGUCUAUCUUAAAAGUGCGGGGCUCAACCCCGUGAUGGGAUAGAAACUGGGUUUCUUGAGUGUCGGAGAGGACAGUGGAAUUCCCAGUGUAGCGGUGAAAUGCGUAGAUAUUGGGAGGAACACCAGUGGCGAAGGCGACUGUCUGGACGAUGUCUGACGCUGAGGCGCGAAAGCCAGGGAAGUGAACGGG
rnacentral:rRNA from 1 species